rnacentral:rRNA from 1 species
UUCUCGGGUGGCGAGCGGCGGACCGGUGAGUAAUGCCUGGGAAAUUGCCCUGAUGUGGGGGAUAACCAUUGGAAACGAUGGCUAAUACCGCAUGAUAGCUUCGGCUCAAAGAGGGGGACCUUCGGGCCUCUCGCGUCAGGAUAUGCCCAGGUGGGAUUAGCUAGUUGGUGAGGUAAUGGCUCACCAAGGCGACGAUCCCUAGCUGGUCUGAGAGGAUGAUCAGCCACACUGGAACUGAGACACGGUCCAGACUCCUACGGGAGGCAGCAGUGGGGAAUAUUGCACAAUGGGCGCAAGCCUGAUGCAGCCAUGCCGCGUGUGUGAAGAAGGCCUUCGGGUUGUAAAGCACUUUCAGUCGUGAGGAAGGUGGUGUUGUUAAUAGCAGCAUCAUUUGACGUUAGCGACAGAAGAAGCACCGGCUAACUCCGUGCCAGCAGCCGCGGUAAUACGGAGGGUGCGAGCGUUAAUCGGAAUUACUGGGCGUAAAGCGCAUGCAGGUGGUUUGUUAAGUCAGAUGUGAAAGCCCGGGGCUCAACCUCGGAAUAGCAUUUGAAACUGGCAAGCUAGAGUACUGUAGAGGGGGGGUAGAAUUUCAGGUGUAGCGGGUGAAAUGCGUAGAGAUCUGAAGG